CCUACGGGUGUCAGCAGUGAGGAAUAUUGGUCACUGUGCGCGAGCCUGAACCAGCCAAGUAGCGUGAAGGAUGACUGCCCUACGGGUUGUAAACUUCUUUUAUAAAGGAAUAAAGUGAGGCACGUGUGCCUUUUUGUAUGUACUUUAUGAAUAAGAAUCGGCUAAAUCCGUGCCAGCAGCCGCGGUAAUACGGAGGAUCCGAGCGUUAUCCUGAUUUAUUGGUUUUAAAGGGAGCGUAGAUGGGUUGUUAAGUCAUUUGUGAAAUUUUGCGGCUCAACCGUAAAAUUGCAAUUGAUCCUGGCAGUCUUGAGUACAGUUGAGGUAGGCGGAAUUCGUGGUGUAGCGGUGAAAUGGUUAGAUAUCACGAAGAACUCCGAUUGCGAAGGCAGCUUACUAAACUGCCACUGACAUUGAUGCUCGAAAGUGUGGGUAUCAAACAGGAUUAGAUACCCUUGUAGUC
rnacentral:rRNA from 1 species